AACGAACCCUUCGGGGUUAGUGGCGCACGGGUGCGUAACGCGUGGGAAUCUGCCCUUUGCUGCGGGAUAACAGUGAGAAAUCGCUGCUAAUACCGCAUAAUGACUACGGWCCAAAGAUUUAUCGGYAAAGGAUGAGCCCGCGUAAGAUUAGCUUGUUGGUGGGGUAAAAGCCUACCAAGGCGACGAUCUUUAGCUGGUCUGAGAGGAUGAUCAGCCACACUGGGACUGAGACACGGCCCAKACUCCUACGGGAGGCAGCAGUGGGGAAUAUUGGACAAUGGGCGAAAGCCUGAUCCAGCAAUGCCGCGUGAGUGAUGAAGGCCUUAGGGUUGUAAAGCUCUUUUACCASGGAUGAUAAUGACAGUACCUGKAGAAUAAACUCCGGCUAACUCCGUGCCAG
rnacentral:rRNA from 1 species